rnacentral:rRNA from 1 species
AAACCAACAGGGAUUGCCUCAGUAACGGCGAGUGAAGCGGCAACAGCUCAAAUUUGAAAUCUGGCACUUUCAGUGUCCGAGUUGUAAUUUGUAGAGGAUGUUCUGGCGACGACCCCGGGUUAAAUUUCUUGGAACAGAAUGUCAAAGAGGGUGAGAACCCCGUCUUGACUCGGGCGUCCGAACCGUGUGGAACUCCUUCGACGAGUCGAGUUGUUUGGGAAUGCAGCUCAAAAUGGGUGGUAAAUUUCAUCUAAAGCUAAAUAUUGGCCAGAGACCGAUAGCGCACAAGUAGAGUGAUCGAAAGAUGAAAAGCACUUUGAAAAGAGAGUUAAACAGUAUGUGAAAUUGUUGAAAGGGAAGCGCUGGCAACCAGACUUGAGCGCGGCGGUUCCCCCCGGCUUCUGCUGGGGUUAUUCCGUCGUGUCCAGGCCAACAUCGGUUCUGGGGGUCGGUUAAAGGCCCUGGGAAUGUAUCUACCCUUCGGGGUCGACUUAUAGCCCAGGGCGUCAUGCGACCUCCCGGGACCGAGGAACGCGCUCCGGCUCGGAUGUUGGCGUAAUGGUUGUCAGCGAC